rfam:Takifugu rubripes chromosome, Chr_20
GUUUCGUGGUGACGGCUGCAGAGUAAACCGCUGGCUUCUGCAGCCUGAUGAGCUGAAAC